UGCCUCCUGCCAGCCAAGGAGGAAAACGAUGAGGCCGGAAGAAAAGGCCCGGAGAUUGGGAAGUGAGACCCAUUCUGCCACUAGCAUCGCCUCAUCGCAAAAGGUUCUUUUAAAAAAUCAUUGUUUUUAAAGACACAGGCAUAUUUAAUAGCCUAAAUAAACAUCAGCUGUGCACAGAGUAACACGCUUGAGAAAUUCAGGUGAGGGUCGUUUGUCACGACGCAAACUCAUCAGUGCCGCGCGAUGCAGAGCAGGUGCUAACUUCUUUUAAUGAGGCCCUAUUUAUAAGGCCGCCCUUGGAAGGAAAGCCAGACCAGGACGGGGGUAGACAGGAAGCACGCUGACGGUGUUCUGUGAAAAAUCAAGUGUUAGACUACCUAGAACAGGACAGCUGCAGGAGACACCAGGAGUUAAAUGAGCGUCUGCUCUGAUUGUGGAACUAGUAAAAACUGCCUGCCAAGCUUGAAAAACACUCAGUCAAAAUGUUUUUUAAAUUUUGUAGAGCUGCAAGGCGAACAAGGAAGAAUGAAAGACGGAGCUAAAAAGAUCGACAUGCGGAGAGCAGUAGCUGGUUGGAGCAGCUGGAACAGACUGAAGCAUUCCAGGCAGAACUGCAAGUGAACGACGGGGAAAUACAUCACCGUGGGAGAGAGCGGGACUAGUUCAUCUCCAUCUUCAACCCAGCAACACUCUUCUUUCAUGGGAGGGAAAGGAUAGCCACGUGAAAAUCGACAGAUGGGCUUGGAUUCUAGCAGCAGGAAGAUACCAAUGGACCAGUCCCAGAUUCCAGACUGGACUCACCUCCAGAGGUUCCCAGGACCCUGAAGAAUUUUAGGUGAACGUUGGCAGUGCGGUCACACAGUCGCCAUGGGGCCUGAACUCUAGGGCCGUGGAACGUCUCAGGGGGUGCCUCCCCUAGGGAUCCCCAGGGCGAGGUCAACUGCCCAGCUGAAGCUUUGAGAUGGCUUUUGUCUGGUGAUGGAUGGAGAAAAAGAUCUUGCUGGGCCCUCCAGAAUGUUGCACCGGAGCGAGUGGAAAUUCAACACCAAGACAAAGGUUGUGUUUACUUCAGGAAGAAGAGUCCCCAUGCUCCUGCAGCUCUGCCAUGGUACCACGAGGCCCAGGGUAUGAAAUAAAAAGGGCGUUUCACUCGGGCAUGUGCUUUCUGUGUGAGGGCAGUUCCUGCCCUCCUAAGCACACAUGGGGCACCUGCCCAAUGCUCAAGCAGAACCUGCUCUUUGCUUGUCCUCCUGGGCCAUCUCUCUACCUCUACAGAGCCGAGUAUGUCUUCCCUGAGAGAGACAGCCCCACUCUGAAAGCCCUCACAGACUCAGGGCUCCCUGUGCUCACACCAGCUCUCUGUCCUUCCCCCCAUCCAAGCUGUCGCCCUCAUGUGAGCAGUUUGGAAGAGACAGAGGAGGAAGCAUCCUCCUCCUGCUCCCCAGGUGGAAGAUUCUUCACAUCUUUCCCAAUUUUCAUGUCUGUAAUAAGUUUACCUAUUUCUUCAUACCUUUUGUCCUAUUUCUCGGUCUGUUCUGAGUCCUGCCUUUCUUUUGGAUCAUUUGUCAAAGUAAAGGCUGAAAUUUGUGCGAUAUAAUGUAGAAUUAACCUUAUCCAUAGAUCGUACUUGGAAAGGAGUUCCUUUUACAUCUCCAGUGUCGGGAUUAUACGGUACCACCUUUAACUCUCUCUAAGAGCAAUAAGCCUUUGUAUAAUUGGGGUUUCUGAGAGUGAGUUAAUUUCUCUCUCACAUGGCAAAGCUUUUAUACCCAAUAUGAGUUUUAAUAACCAAUAUGAUAUUUUCAGUAUUUACUUAAAAUACAACUGUCUGAACAUUAGCUCCUGUGAAUGCCACUUUAUCCUUAAGAGACGUUGAAAAUCGCUGUCUGAGAAAGUACUCUCUUAAUUAUUCUACUAAUGCCAUAUGUUGUCCACUUACUCACCGAAUAGCCAGUGGACUCCAAGGAGCAGUGAGAAUAUGAGAAAAGGCACUCUGGUCUGUCCGUUCC
rnacentral:lncRNA from 13 species